GCUAGCGGCAGGCCUAACACAUGCAAGUCGAGGGGUAACAUUGGUGCUUGCACCAGAUGACGACCGGCGCACGGGUGCGUAACGCGUAUACAACCUACCUUUUAGCAGGGAAAAGCCCAGGGAAACUUGGAUUAAUGCCCUAUAGUAUGGUGAUCUCCCCUGAGAUUAUCAUUAAACAUUUAUGGCUAUUAGAUGGGUAUGCGUCCUAUUAGUUAGUUGGUAAGGUAACGGCUUACCAAGGCAGCGAUAGGUAGGGGUCCUGAGAGGGAGAUCCCCCACACUGGUACUGAGACACGGACCAGACCCCUACGGGAGGCAGCAGUGAGGAAAAUUGGACAAUGGGCGAGAGCCUGAUCCAGCCAUGCCCCGUGCAGGAAGACUGCCCUAUGGGUUGUAAACUGCUUUUACAGAGGAAGAACCACCCCCACGUGUGGGAGUUUGACGGUACUCUGCGAAAAAGGAUCGGCUAACCCCGUGCCAGCAGCCCCGGUAAAACGGAGGAUCCAAGCGUUAUCCGGAAUCAUUGGGUUUAAAGGGUCCGUAGGCGGGCAGUUAAGUCAGUGGUGAAAGUCUUCCCCUCAACGGGAGAACUGCCAUUGAUACUGAUUGCCUUGAGUUAUUAUGAAGUGGUUAGAAUGAGUAGUGUAGCGGUGAAAUGCAUAGAUAUUACUCAGAAAACCGAUUGCGAAGGCAGAUCACUAAAAAUAUACUGACCCUGAUGGACGAAAGCGUAGGUAGCGAACAGGAUUAGAUACCCUGGUAGUCUACCCCGUAAACGAUGGUUACUAGCUGUUCGGAUCGAUUAAGAUCUGAGUGGUUAAGCGAAAGUGAUAAGUAACCCACCUGGGGAGUACGUUCGCAAGAAUGAAACUCAAAGGAAUUGACGGGGGCCCCCACAAGCGGUGGAGCAUGUGGUUUAAUUCGAUAAUUCGCGAGGAACCUUACCAGGGCUUAAAUGUAGUCUGACCGGAGUGGAAACACUUUUUUCUUCGGACAGAUUACAAGGUGCUGCAUGGUUGUCGUCAGCUCGUGCCGUGAGGUGUCAGGUUAAGUCCUAUAACGAGCGCAACCCCUGUGGUUAGUUGCCAGCGAGUAAUGUCGGGAACUCUAGCCAGACUGCCGGUGCAAACCGUGAGGAAGGUGGGGAUGACGUCAAAUCAUCACGGCCCUUACGUCCUGGGCCACACACGUGCUACAAUGGUAGGGACAGAGAGCAGCCACUUCGCGAGAAGGAGCGAAUCUACAAACCCUAUCACAGUUCGGAUCGCAGUCUGCAACUCGACUGCGUGAAGCUGGAAUCGCUAGUAAUCGCAUAUCAGCCAUGAUGCGGUGAAAACGUUCCCGGGCCUUGUACACACCCCCCGUCAAGCCAUGGAAGCUGGGGGUACCUGAAGUCGGUCACCCCAAGGAGCCCCCUAGGGUAAAACUGGUAACUGGGGCUAAGUCGUAACAAGGUAGCCGUACCGGAAGG
rnacentral:rRNA from 1 species